rnacentral:rRNA from 1 species
UACAGAGGUCUCAAGCGUUGUUCGGAUUCAUUGGGCGUAAAGGGUGCGUAGGCGGCGCGGUAAGUCGGGUGUGAAAUCUCGGAGCUUAACUCCGAAACUGCAUUCGAUACUGCCGUGCUUGAGGACUGGAGAGGAGACUGGAAUUUACGGUGUAGCGGUGAAAUGCGUAGAUAUCGUAAGGAAGACCAGUGGCGAAGGCGGGUCUCUGGACAGUUCCUGACGCUGAGGCACGAAGGUCCAGGGGAGCAAACGGGG